rnacentral:rRNA from 1 species
CUACGGGUUGCAGCAGUGAGGAAUAUUGGUCAAUGGGCGCAAGCCUGAACCAGCCAUCCCGCGUGGAGGAAGACGGCCCUAUGGGUUGUAAACUCCUUUUAUAAGGGAAGAAUAUACGUAUCGUGAUAUGUUUUGACGGUACCUUAUGAAUAAGCAUCGGCUAACUCCGUGCCAGCAGCCGCGGUAAUACGGAGGAUGCAAGCGUUAUCCGGAUUCAUUGGGUUUAAAGGGUGCGCAGGCGGACCAAUAAGUCAGUGGUGAAAUCUUACGGCUCAACCGUGAAACUGCCAUUGAUACUGUUAGUCUUGAGUACGGCUGAGGUAGGCGGAAUGUGUAAUGUAGCGGUGAAAUGCUUAGAUAUUACACAGAACACCAAUUGCGUAGGCAGCUUACUAGACCGUAACUGGCGCUGAGGCACGAAAGCGUGGGUAGCGAACAGGAUUAGAUACCCCCGUAGUC